GGGCAAAUACCCAAGUUCGGCUGAAGGGACUGGUCUCGAAAACCAGCAGGGGUUUAACGAUCCGCGGGGGUUCGAAUCCCUCUUUGCCCGCCA
rnacentral:tRNA from 1 species